rnacentral:snRNA from 1 species
AGAAUGUGGUAGUGGGUGUAAGGAUGAUCUGGCUUGACCUUGAGUGUUGAUUCUGAUGAUCUGGCUCGCUAGGUGAGUGUACCUUUCCCUCAGUGUUCUGCACGCAUCCCUCCCAAAGCUGCACUCUUGGUUGAAGAGGACAACCUUUGCCUAAUAGAGGAGGCUCGUUCUUUUGUCAAAGUUAUACGUGUAGCUGUGUAUCUUCUCUCCCAAAGCAUCCAAAUAAGCUCUCAAGAAUGGUAGGUAAUGUUAAUUGGAUAAAGAAAUAAAGCACACCUCUGGGUGUUUCUGUGAGGGUGUUUUCAGAAAUGGGUAGAUCACAAAAACU